AUUGAACGCUGGCGGCAGGCCUAACACAUGCAAGUCGAACGGUAACAGGAAGAAGCUUGCUUCUUUGCUGACGAGUGGCGGACGGGUGAGUAAUGUCUGGGAAACUGCCUGAUGGAGGGGGAUAACUACUGGAAACGGUAGCUAAUACCGCAUAACGUCGCAAGACCAAAGAGGGGGACCUUCGGGCCUCUUGCCAUCGGAUGUGCCCAGAUGGGAUUAGCUAGUAGGUGGGGUAACGGCUCACCUAGGCGACGAUCCCUAGCUGGUCUGAGAGGAUGACCAGCCACACUGGAACUGAGACACGGUCCAGACCCCUACGGGAGGCAGCAGUGGGGAAUAUUGCACAAUGGGCGCAAGCCUGAUGCAGCCAUGCCGCGUGUAUGAAGAAGGCCUUCGGGUUGUAAAGUACUUUCAGCGGGGAGGAAGGGAGUAAAGUUAAUACCUUUGCUCAUUGACGUUACCCGCAGAAGAAGCACCGGCUAACUCCGUG
rnacentral:rRNA from 1 species